rnacentral:tRNA from 1 species
CGGGGUGUGGCUCAGUUGGUAGAGCGCUUGGUUUGGGACCAAGAUGCCGCAGGUUCGAAUCCUGUCACUCCGACCA